AGUGAACGCUGGCGGUAGGCCUAACACAUGCAAGUCGAACGGCAGCACAGUAAGAGCUUGCUCUUACGGGUGGCGAGUGGCGGACGGGUGAGGAAUACAUCGGAAUCUACUUUUUCGUGGGGGAUAACGUAGGGAAACUUACGCUAAUACCGCAUAAGACCUACGGGUGAAAGCAGGGGAUCUUCGGACCUUGCGCGAUUGAAUGAGCCGAUGUCGGAUUGGCUAGUUGGCGGGGUAAAGGCCCACCAAGGCGACGAUCCGUAGCUGGUCUGAGAGGAUGAUCAGCCACACUGGAACUGAGACACGGUCCAGACUCCUACGGGAGGCAGCAGUGGGGAAUAUUGGACAAUGGGCGCAAGCCUGAUCCAGCCAUACCGCGUGGGUGAAGAAGGCCUUCGGGUUGUAAAGCCCUUUUGUUGGGAAAGAAAAGCAGCAGGUUAAUACCCCGCUGUUCUGACGGUACCCAAAGAAUAAGCACCGGCUAACUUCGUG
rnacentral:rRNA from 1 species